AUGAUAAAUUUUGGAUCAUUCUUUUGUUUUUUAAAAUUAUUUCCGUGUAUAUAUAUACAGUAAUCUAUGGACUUCCUAUGAUCAAUUAUUUUUUCUCUCCUACUAUAGAAAAGCAGAACACAAAGGAGAUAGAAUGGUAUCUAACUCUCUUGUUCAUGUCCUUCUUGUUUCUUUCCCUGGGCAAGGCCAUGUAAACCCUUUGCUUAGACUUGGGAAGCGUCUUGCUUCUAAGGGCAUGCUUGUCACCUUCUCUGCACCUGAAGGAUUCGGAAAACAGAUGAGAAAGGCCAACAACAUCACUGAUCAGCCUGUACCUGUUGGUGACGGAUUUAUCAGGUUUGAAUUCUUUGAAGAUGGGUGGGAGGAAGACGAUCCUAGACGCCAAUACCUUGACCAAUUCUUAUCUCAACUUGAGCUUGCCGGGAAACAAGCGAUUCCUCAGAUGAUCAAGAAACAUUCCGAGCAAGGUCACCCAGUUUCAUGCCUCAUCAACAAUCCUUUCUUUCCUUGGGUUUCUGAUGUAGCUGAAAGUCUUGGUCUUCCUUCUGCAGUGCUCUGGAUUCAAUCAUGCGCUUGUUUCUCUGCAUAUUACCAUUACUCUCGUCGUCUUGUGCCUUUCCCUACUGAGGAAAACCCAGAGAUCGAUGUUCAGUUGCCUUGUAUGCCUCUCUUGAAAUAUGAUGAAGUUCCAAGCUUCUUAUAUCCUACAACUCCAUAUCCUUUCUUGAGGAGAGCUAUUUUGGGUCAGUAUGGGAAUCUUGACAAGCCUUUCUGCAUCUUGAUGGAAUCAUUUCAAGAGCUGGAGCCGGAGAUCAUUGAGUACAUGUCCAAACUGUGCCCAAUCAAGCCGGUUGGUCCUUUGUUUAAGAACCCUAAAGCACCAAACUCAGCUGUUCGAGGCGACAUCAUGAAGGCUGAUGAUUGCAUUGAAUGGUUGGACAGCAAGCCACCCUCAUCGGUGGUUUAUGUUUCUUUCGGUAGUGUGGUGUACUUGAAGCAAGACCAGUGGGAUGAAAUUGCAUAUGGGCUAUUGAAGUCUGGUGUCUCAUUCUUGUGGGUCAUGAAACCACCACACAAAGAUUCAGGAUAUGAGGUUCUUGUUUUGCCUGAAGGGUUCUUGGAGAAAGCAGGAGAUAAGGGCAAAGUAGUGCAAUGGAGUCCACAAGAGAAAGUUUUAGCUCACCCAUCAACUGCAUGCUUCGUGACACACUGUGGAUGGAACUCAACCAUGGAAGCACUCUCAUCUGGAAUGCCGGUGGUGGCUUUCCCUCAAUGGGGUGAUCAAGUGACUGAUGCAAAGUUCUUGGUCGAUGUCUUUAAAGUUGGUGUAAGAAUGAGCCGUGGAGAUUCUGAUAACAAGUUGAUUACCCGAGAUGAGGUGGAGAAAUGCUUGCUUGAGGCAACCGUAGGGCCUAAGGCGGCACAGAUGAAGCAAAAUGCAUUGAAAUGGAAGGAGGCAGCGGAUGCUGCGGUGGCUGAAGGUGGUUCAUCCGACAGGAAUAUACAAGCUUUUGUGGACGAGGUGAGGAAGAGAAGUGUUGAGAUCACUAGCAAGUCAAGCAGCAGCCAGAUCAAUGAGCUUGAAGAUUUGGUGGACAAGCCAAGCAGCAACGGAAAAGCACAAGUAUUGGUGGAGUCCUCAGCAUAAAGAUAAUGUUGUCAUUUAAUUGUUAUGUUUAAUAAUUAAAAUAAGGCUAUGGUCUGUUGUUUUUUUGUUCUUUUACUUUCAGUUCCUAGGGAUCAUUUUGCAUUUCAAAAAUAUAGGAAUCGUAUUUUGGGGUAUUAUCCUUGUUUGGUUGUUGUCAAUUGCUAGUUGUUACUAAGUCUUUGAAUAUCUAAUUAAUUUUGUUUCUCCCAAUUUUUAUUUCCACUUGUAUUUGAA
rnacentral:misc_RNA from 1 species